rnacentral:rRNA from 1 species
GGACAAUGGAGGCAACUCUGAUCCAGCCAUGCCGCGUGCAGGAUGACUGCCCUAUGGGUUGUAAACUGCUUUUAUACAGGAAGAAACAUCUCUACGUGUAGAGACUUGACGGUACUGUAAGAAUAAGGAUCGGCUAACUCCGUGCCAGCAGCCGCGGUAAUACGGAGGAUCCAAGCGUUAUCCGGAAUCAUUGGGUUUAAAGGGUCCGUAGGUGGAUAAUUAAGUCAGAGGUGAAAGUUUGCAGCUCAACUGUAAAAUUGCCUUUGAUACUGGUUAUCUUGAAUCAUUAUGAAGUGGUUAGAAUAUGUAGUGUAGCGGUCA